rnacentral:rRNA from 1 species
UCAGACGAUGCGUCAUGCAUAUCAAUAAGCGGAGGAAAAGAAACUAACUAGGAUUCCCUCAGUAACGGCGAGUGAAGCGGGAAGAGCUCAAAUUUGAAAUCUUCAAGGUUUUACCUUGACGAAUUGUAGUUUAAAGAAGUGUUUUCUGUUGGAGUUUUGGUAAAAGUUCUUUGGAAAAGGACAUCAUAGAGGGUGAGAAUCCCGUAUUUGACCAUUAUUUUCAGCUGUGUGAUACACUUUCAAAGAGUCGGAUUGUUUGGGAAUGCAGUCCAAAAUGGGUGGUAAAUUUCAUCUAAAGCUAAAUACUGGCGAGAGACCGAUAGCGAACAAGUACCGUGAGGGAAAGAUGAAAAGAACUUUGAAAAGAGAGUUAAACAGUACGUGAAAUUGUCAAAAGGGAAGCGUUUGACACCAGUGUUGUUUUCUCGAAAAUCAAUUAAAAAGAGUUGGAUUUUGUGUUGUAUUGACCUUAACAACUUGCUUCACUCUUUUCCUGCUUUUUUUAAUGCACUUUUCGUUUAACAAGUCAACAUCAGUUUCUUUUGUUGUAAAAGGGUCAUUGGAAGGUGGCUUUCUCUUCGGAGAAAGUGUUUAUAGCCUUUGAUCUCUGCAAUCGGAGAGACUGAGGUCUGCAGCGUAGAUCCUUCGGGGUUAGAUACAUUUGUGCUAAGCUACAGCUUUUCAUAGACAACUUGUUGACUAUGUUCAGUCUUGUAGCUUACUCGCUUGUGCUAUUUUACCUACGCUUAGGAUGUUGAUAUGCAUGACUGAUAU